AUUGAACGCUGGCGGCAGGCCUAACACAUGCAAGUCGAGCGGAUGAUGGGAGCUUGCUCCUGGAUUCAGCGGCGGACGGGUGAGUAAUGCCUAGGAAUCUGCCUGGUAGUGGGGGACAACGUUUCGAAAGGAACGCUAAUACCGCAUACGUCCUACGGGAGAAAGCAGGGGACCUUCGGGCCUGGCGCUAUCAGAUGAGCCUAGGUCGGAUUAGCUAGUAGGUGAGGUAAAGGCUCACCUAGGCGACGAUCCGUAACUGGUCUGAGAGGAUGAUCAGUCACACUGGAACUGAGACACGGUCCAGACUCCUACGGGAGGCAGCAGUGGGGAAUAUUGGACAAUGGGCGAAAGCCUGAUCCAGCCAUGCCGCGUGUGUGAAGAAGGUCUUCGGAUUGUAAAGCACUUUAAGUUGGGAGGAAGGGCAGUAAGUUAAUACCUUGCUGUUUUGACGUUACCGACAGAAUAAGCACCGGCUAACUUCGUGCCAGCCGCCGCGGUAAAAC
rnacentral:rRNA from 1 species